CGCGUAGUUAGCCGGGGCUUCUUAGUCAGGUACCGUCUUCUUUCUUCCCUGCUGAUAGGGCUUUACAUACCGAAAUACUUCUUCACCCACGCGGCGUCGCUGCAUCAGGGUUUCCCCCAUUGUGCAAUAUCCCCCACUGCUGCCUCCCGUAGGAGUCUGGGCCGUGUCUCAGUCCCAAUGUGGCCGUCCGCCCUCUCAGGCCGGCUACCGAUCGUCGCUUUGGUGGGCCCUUACCCCGCCAACUGGCUAAUCGGACGCGGAUCCAUCGCUUGCCGGAUUUCUCCUUUUCGCACUCUGCCAUGCGGCACCGUGCGCUUAUGCGGUAUUAGCGGCUGUUUCCAGCCGGUAUCCCCCUGCAUGCGGCAGGUUAUCCACGCGUUACUCACCCGUCCGCCACUCGGACAGACUUCACUAGGUUUCCGUCUGUCCCCGUUCGACUUGCAUGUGUUAGGCACGCCGCCAGCGUUCAUCCUGAGCCAGGAUCAAACUCU
rnacentral:rRNA from 1 species